CUUAUAUAUAGGCUGGAGGUGGAUGUCUUGCUGUGUCUACCACCUUAUUUAAGCACCUUACCUCCUCAGUCACAGUGCAGAGGCAGGAAAAGCCUCAUUUAACCUCGUUGGACAAUAACAAUCGUAAAUCUUGUCCCUUGUUCUGUGUUUCAGUGCUUGCGCAUAUAGACCAUCUCUAAGCAUUUCCAUUACUCUCUAGCUACUUGAAUUCCUCUGCCAGCCUAGGUCUCCUGUAUGGAGAUCCUGUUACUGAUUGUCCUCUGCAUUUUGAUGAACACAUCCCUCAUGCUGAACUCUGUACACUUUAGGUCCUAUUACUUGUCUGAAAUUAAUUUCUGCGACCAAGUCAGUUCCUUCAGUCUCUCAUUCCAUUUUAUGAAAAUUGCCAGCAGGACAUCAUCCUUUCAUCUGCACCUUCCACAGCACAGACAGAACCUCAGGUUUGGAGGAGUAGAGAGGACCCUAAAGAUCAGCUGUUUCACUACUUCUUUCUUCCCACUCCUUACUGUCAUCCAAGAUAAUGCAUAUGUAAGAUCCACAGAGGAUCUCACCACUUGUGGUGGCAGCUAAUUCCAUUGUGGAGACUGUCUUUGCGCUCCUGAGGGCAAGGACCAAAUCUUAUCCAUCGUGGCAACACCAGCCCCAACUCAGAGCCUGGAGUAUGGCAGUAACUCAGUGAAUGAAUGAGUGAAUUAAUGAGUAAUUGAACGAAUAUUGUUGGGCCCAAAACUGACUUCUCUGGGUUUCCAUAAAGUCUUCCUUAGGAUGAUUCAGAAUGAUUUAAAUCCCUUCUCUACAGAAUGGCCUUUAACUAUAUAAAGUUAUCCUGUCCUAAUUAAGUCUUUUUUUAUUAUCUGAUAUAUUUUCAGUCCCCCAAAGGAGAAUCCUACACAUCAAAUUACAACCCUUUCUACUUUAGUUGUAUGAUAGCCUCCUGAGGAAUGUACAGUUUUCUGGAACACAUUCAGCAUGAGGGUGGGCCGGAAGUGAUUGUGCAACUAUUGCAAAAGUCUGUGGUUUAAAUCUGUCCAAAAGUCUUAUCUCAGCAGUGCAGAUGCAGGACUCUGCCAGUAGUCACAGCUUCUCUGUUUCCCAUUGUGUAGUCUGCAGAUAGCUCUGAUGAGGACAGAGGGUUUAUAUGGAAGGUGUCUUGAUGUGUUUUCAGUGUAACAGGAUAUCGAAUGGGACUUUUCAUGAUGUCUUCAAAUUUCCUCUGAAGCCCCAAAGGUGAGAACAAAAGGUGAUAAGUAUCCCCAGAUUUCUGAAUCAGGUACUAGCACUGGACAUAUCCAUGCAGACAUUGUCAAAAGACAGCAAAACUGGUAGGUACAGUGACUAUCAACCUCCUUCACACACCUCCAACUGUUUCAGGAGAAAGGGGAUUAAAGAGGCUCUGGGCAGUGGACAGUGUUGUGGCAUUUCCCUUUCUCUUCUUAUGAGGAGGCCCUUGAGAGGACUGGGGGCUCUAGCAGUGUCCCUGGGAUUGGAAUAGAGCAGAGUGAGAGAAUUCGUGGAGAAAUGGAUAUGUGUCUUCUGGAAUUUAGGGACGUAAAUUGAUGGAAACUGGUGCUUGCUCCUGCCUGAUGAGUCUGGAGUGUGGGAGGCUGGUCAGAACAACCAGUGAACCCUAAAUGAAUGAAGAGGGCAGCAGUUAGAGCUGUCUGUAUGACGAGAAUUUGUAAUGGUGAGGAUAUGUGCUUUCCAGGAGUUACAAUGGAAGAUAGCUGGCAUUGAACCAGGAGGGGACCCCAGCAAUAAGCUGCUAUCUGGUUUAUUUCUGAGUAGGAGCUGAGAUGUUUGCAAGAAACUUCUGGCAGAAGUGAGAGAGUGUGUUUGCUUUGAGGGGAGGCUUUUCAGCCAGGUAGACACCACAGGGAGCCUUUGAAAGUCUCACAAAUGUAUCCCAUUGGAGAGAGUCAGCAUAUAGGCUCUUCCAACAUCAAGGCCAUGGUCUACUGUAUUAUAACAGUCCCUACCACAAAAGAUACAUUUAGUCAUUUUCCUCUAAUCCCCCUGCUCCAUGUUUUGACCCUGGAGAAGCCAGAAGCAGCAGGGUGAGGGGCAGGAGGGUGAAGGAGAUGGAAGAAAGACAGAUGGCACUUCCUUUCCAUGCUGUAGGGCUGUAGUCCUCAGGUCACAGGUUGGGGUAAGGCUAGAGGUAUGGUGAGGGGGAACUCUGAAUUGGAUAUGUGAUUGAAGUUUUAACUAGGACUUUUAAAUGAGUUUUAAUUCUUGAAAAUAACUUAAGAAUCUAUAGGAUAUGCCUGAGAUGUUGCCCAGGGGUGGAGAAGGGUGAUUUGACAGAGCAUGUUGGGAAGGAGUGAUUAGAAAAAAAUAAAACUCUUAUCUGUUAUACACCACUGAGUUUUGCCCAUUCGAGAAACUGAUUAAAUAGCAAUUUUAGGUAAAUUCCAAGGAGGCCAGGCCUUAGGGAUGGGUAGGCAACAGACUGUUCUUUGGGACUUUGGUAUUAUGGACUCUGUUUUUCUGAAGUUUUUGAUAUUGCUGUUUAAUUUUUUAAAAGUUUUUAUUUUGCAAUGAUAUUACAACUCAGAAAAGUUGCAAAAAAAUAGAGUUCCCCUAUAUUCUUUCCCCAGCUUCCCCUAAUGUUAACAUCUUAUAUAACCAUACUAGAAUGAUCAAAACCGGGAAAUUAAGAUUGAUGCAAUACUGUUAACUAAUCUACAGACUUUAAGUUUUGCCAGAUUUCCCGUGAACGUUCUUUUUCUGGCCAGAAUCCAAUCCAGGAUCCCACAUUGCAGUUAGUCGUAAUGUCUUCUUUGUAUCAUUAAAUUUUAAGAUUGGAAAAGACAUUAAAGGUCUUCUUGAUGAAUCACCAUGUGGAGUCUUGAAUUCCCUCUAUAAAAAUCCCUGUUAAUCAUAUUUUUGCAGAAGAUGCCUCCAGGGCCAGUCUGUUAUAAAUGGGACCCAGGUCUGUGAGAAAGUCCAGAGUGAUGUUUUGCUUUCUUAAAGCUUCCACCAGUUGGUUCUGGUUCUUACCUUUUAGAACAAAACUAUUUUCCCUUCUACAUGACAGCCUUCAAAAAUUUGAGGACCAUUAUAUUUCUACUCCCUCUGGAAACCCCACUCCCCACUCCUUCCACCAAAUCCUUUCUGCUUUAAGGUGGACAUUUUCAGUUCCAUCAACUUUUCCUCAUAUAACAUGGUUUUAGGUCAUCCUACACGUGGGUCACUAUACCCCAAACAAGCUCGAGUUGCAUAUAUAGACGUAGAUGUGGGCGUAUCCAUCUAUUUAUCUAUGUAGUGCCUGAACAGAGAAAAAUCAAAGCUAUCAUCCUCCACAUUCUAUAGACUGUCUCUGCAGGCAAAGAUUACGUGACCAUUUGUAUAAAGGUAGGCAGGCCCUACGUAGACAUGCUAAUUUUAAAUAGCCAUUUUCAGUGAACUUAAGUAGGUAAUCUAAUCUCCUGUGUCAGUUGCUAAGAGAAGUUUGGCAUCUUUCUUAGAAAUAAUUUCUAGAGUGGAAACCUGGACAAGGUAGAUAAGUUUUCCAUACAUGAUUGGCUUGGCAAGAUUCUAAUUGAAAAUGGUGCCCGGCUAGAGGAUCCUGUUAUAUCUUCUCCAGAAAAAGAAAAGGUGAUAUAUUUUCAAAAAUUAGAACAAACUCUCAAUGUAUUGGCAGAAUCUAGGAUAACUUCCAUUUACUGGACAGCUGAUGGAAAUGGAUUGAGAAACACAAUGUUGCCUGAAAUAUUUAUGUUUAAAAAGAAUUCUCAAGACGUGUUUUAUCAGUCUUCUACUGCCUGUACCCUGGUUCAAAAUGCAGGGUACGUUUUGACCUUACCUGUACUGUGUGAGUAUUGCUAGAGGAGAGGCCUGGAGUACUUCUCUCCUCACUGUUCCCAGGGUACCUCACUUUCCUCACACUCUCAGAGUCUGCAGUUUCCAGAGAUGAAUGGCAGGAAGUGCAAAGGGAUUGGAGAUGGUGCACUUCAUCUUGGAGAUAAGCUCUAGUAUGAAUUCAAGCUAGAACACUUUGCAUCUGUUCAGGGAGUGAGAGAACCAGCAAUGGAGAUACAGCGACUCUAGAUGAAUGUCUGCUUGAUCCUGGGAAUCAAGCCAAGGAAUUGUCAACAGCUUUCCCUCCAGCAAUGGAUUCCAUAGAGGAAUUAUACUAGCACUUAAGUGAUGAGAAAGAGAAAAGCAGUCCCUGACAUUCAGGAACUAGCCCUUGGUGGUGUUGUAAGCAGGCCUGGCACUCACAGCUAAGUCUGAUGUGCUCUGGUUGGACAUAAGCAGUUUCACAGAACAUCAGCAUCAGACAAGGCCACUCCAUGACCACAAUGCUUCAAAGCCAGAGCAAGAGCACUCGGUAAUUAUGUAUGAACACAGACAACACAUGAACAUUGUCCAAGUCACAAAAUGCCAAACAUCCUUUGCCAGCUAAGAUGAGUGAUGGCUGCUUCCUUGUCAAUUACAGUCUGCCUUCCUUGUAAAUAAGACUUAUUGAGAUACCCAAUUAUAAAAUUGUCCCUGUUUUCUGACGGUGCAAGAUCUGCCAAAUCACCCAACUGAAUCCCAAAUCCUAUAAUAAGUUUUUCCUAACAUCCUCUUACUGAAAUGUCCAUGGUUCCCCAUGGCAUGCAUUCUGUCUCACUGCAACUGGUUAUAAGUCCAACUUGUUCAAUCCAUUACUGAUGGUCUUUGGCUUGAGGGCAUUGAUGGUGGACAGACAGUGGGACAAUCGAUACUUGGCAAAUACCCAUUAAAGGUAUCUCUUCUUUGAAAGAUAAGCAAACAAUAAAAUGAAACAAGACAUAGAGUCUAGGGAAAAAAUUACCACUGAAUAAAGAAAAAAGAACUCUAUCCCUAGACUUAGUUAGGAUCCCAAGCUAUACCUUCCCAUAAUUCCAUUUUUGUACUGUUCAUCAUAGAAUUCCAAAAAAACUAAUAUUUAACAGGAGAAUUAAAAUCCUAAUUGGAAGUAUUAAGGAGCCAAACUGAUACUGUAGAAUAUGGAAGUGGUGAUAUCAAAAGGAAACUUUAGAGGUUUUCCUAGAAUGCAGAGAAAGAUAAUGGGAAAACACGUCGUGGACAGGAAGUGAUUCAACCCAAGAAGUAUUUGUGUUCCCAACGAAGAAAUAAGAGUGAAUGUAAUAGAAGUAAUGCUGGUUACUGUAGAUUGGCUUCCUUGGAAUGCAUUCCAACCCUCUGAUAGUAUGCAGAGACUGGAAAGCCAAAUCCCACUCUUUCCAGAAUUGCUUGCAGUUUUGGAUGUGAUUUAAGUUCUGCAAGACGAUGCACUCAAGUGAAACUGGAUUUAGAACUCAGUCACGUGGGAGAGAGGGAAGUUGUGGGGCAUCCAGUUUUCUGGUGCUGAUUAUGGCAGAGGCGACUCUAGAGGCAGCUUUCCAGUUCACUGAUCAGUUUCCUGAUGAGGAUGGGGCGGCUGAGUUCCAGAGCCAGCAGGUGUGGCAGUGGCUCCUGUCUUGGCAGGCAGCCUCCUGAUUCUACACUCCCUAGCUGUGGCUGGAGCAGCAGCUUUAUUGGCAGCCCACUUCUCAGAGGUGCCUUUGGGAGUCGCUCAUGGAAGGGAGGCAAGCCGAUAAGAAAGCCAGAGUGCUCUCUCCUUUGGUGCUGGUGGGAGAUUGAAAGCACACAAGCCCCUGCCAGUGUGUGGGAUGUUUUUGACAAAUGCCACUUCAUCCCUUGGGCCUAUCUAAGACUGACCAACUGCCUCUGACCAUUGCAAAGAAAUAUGCUUGUCAUCCAAAAAGCCUCUCGCUGAACGUAUCCAAACAUUUAUUGCAAUGAAGAAAGAACUGAUAACUGAACACAGGAAAGAGAAUAAUGGUCUGAAGGCCCAUACAGGACCGUCGGAAUUUAAACUGGAGCUCUGGCAUCAGUGUCCCCUCAUCUAGGCCCUGGCAGGAGAAUUCUCUCUUUCCUUGAAGCGUAAUUUAGCUGUCAGCAUUUCCUUCUCACACUUCACUGUUCCUUUUCUAUUUGACUUUUUAAUUUCUUUCUAUGAGAAAAUCAUCUGAUUUUUUUUAAAAAAACACAAUUCAUCUUUGUAGGGUUUAUUGCUGUGCUGAUAUGUCAUGGAUACUUAGUUGCUUUGAUUGCUGUUUUUCUGGAGCUUAACAAACCCACUUAAGACAAAUGUGAAAACUCAAAUGAGAAAUCAGAACCAAAGGCAAUGUGUCCCCAACACCGUCUUUAUAGGCCAUUACAAAACCCUUUGCAAAUCUCAGGAGAUGAAGAGGCAGGAGAAAAAGCAUAUGGUUGAUGAAUACAUUUGAGAUGCAGGUGCCAAGUGACCAGGGUACAGUGUGAUGAGGCUGGAACCCUAAGCGCGAAAGCUUUGUUGAAGAAGGAAACUUAAAAAAAAGCAAACCCCAAACCAGUGGAUGAGCAAUGCCAGUAAACGAGCUGACAGCAGAAGUAAUUUAAAAAUGGGAAGCUUGAGCCAAUGUUCAAAUAUGAAGGAAGAACGUCAGCUACAUGGGCAUUCGGGGACUGAGGGAAGAGAGGGAGCAGCAGCCAGAGAACCAAAUUCUGCAAACAUUAGCGAUUUCUAAAAUACCCGCAGAGCGCGAGUGCGUAACAAAUACAAACGGACAGAGGAGGGAAUUGCUGAGCACCCAGUCUCGGUAUGCCAGGGGAAAAACCACACUUUCCUUAGACUUACAAACCCAGGUGAAGAGAGCCUACAACUUCUGCAAACCGAGGAGCUGCGGAGGAAUAGCGACUAGGGAUGGGAGGAAAUUCAGAAAGAAAUAUUUGGAAUUUGUAGAGCCACCUGAGGCAGUGGUUGCUCAGAAGACUGGUCUCUUCAGACCAGGUCUAAUUUCUUAUUGCCUGGGAUCUGCCCCUUCCUUCCCCUGCGCCCGUGCUGUGACUAGGCUCAGGCACCAGGUCACUACUCUGGGGACUAACAGUUCAGGGUCUCAGGCGUCACUGCUGCCCCGGAUGCUCCAAGCUGUUCUUUUGUCACUGCAUUCCCUGUUCUUCCAGCAUUGUGCCCAGCGUAUAUCUUGAUGUUUGAAAAUGGUGUGUUCAAUGAACGACCAAAUGCUUCAGAGGGAAAUGACAGGCAGUAAGCACAGUGGUUAAGAGCACCAGACAGAGGUGGGUACAAAUUCUGGUUGUACCACUUACCAGCUUAGUGAACUUAAGCAUGUUAAUUCUGUUCCCUGACUUUUGGUUUUCCCAUCUGUGCAAUGAUACCAAUCUCAUAGUGUUGUGAAGAUUAAAUCUAAGAGUGUUUAUGGCAUGCCUGAUAUAGUGUCUGGGGCACAAAAAGCAUUCGAUAAAUGGCAGACAUUGUUAGAUAAUAAGGUGUUACACCUCCCAGAGCAUUUGCAAUUGGACAAAGCAACUUAAAGGGAACUAGUCCUGCUGUUGGUGUUGAAGGAAAUGAGAUAAGAGGAAAAGGUGGUAGAUUGAGAGUUGGGUGUGGAGCUCCAACUGGGUCAGGGCAGACAGUUUGAGACCAAGACAGUGAAUCUUAAGGUGAAUUUGGAGACCUGCUGUGUAGCAUCAGAAUGGGUCAGAGCUUAAACAAGCCAUGUAGAAUCAAGGAGGAUGGCUCUGGGCUAGUCCCUUAAGCUGAGCCUUCGUUUCUUCACCUAAAAAUGAAGGCGUUAGAUAACUAGGUGGUCUCUAUCAUCUCGUGGUUCUAGGACAGACUUAAAUGGAGAUAGAUUUUUAGAGAGUAAGUCAGUAAGACCAACAGAUCAAUGACAGGACUAGAAUUGGAAUUCUGUCUUCUCGCUCCCUGAACAAUCACUAGAGGCAAAGGGCAUUUAAUUCCUCAUGCAUUCUUCAGGUAAUUAGCUUAAAAGUGUUUAAGGUUAGAUGGGGAAUGAGCCAGGAAUCCUUUCUCUUACCCAACUUACUGCUUUCCAAGACAUGUAUUACUAUUAGAUUGAUGGAAAAAAUAUUGCCUCUGCCCUCAUGGUCCCCAGGCUCAGAUAUUCACGAGAAUUCAAUCUUGAGAAAGACGAUGUCCCGUGCUUUGUAUACUGUCACACACAGGAAAUAAUAUAAUCAUUAAAAAAUAAUCAUCUUGAAUUUUUGAUGGUGUUCUGCUUGUUUGCAAUUUUAUUAUUCAUAGGUGUUAGCUUUGCAAUUACAAAACAUGUUGUUGGUAUUUUGGAGCGGAUUCUGACAUCAAAUUUGGUUUGCCAAUAGAUGGAAUGAACAUGUCAAGGAACAUAGAGGAUGAUGACAAUGGAUAAAAUCCCAUUUGGUUUCUACAGCUAAUAAUCUUGUUCAGAGCACAAAAUAUUUGAACACCGUAAUACGAUUUCCGCAUUAAAAGCACGUUCCAGUCAAUUCAAAAAUUAAGUAAAUAGAGCAGAGGCAUACAGUUCUACUAAUCCACCAAUGUCAUAAAUUUAAUGAUUUUAGCAGCUCAAGGAAAA